rnacentral:pre_miRNA from 1 species
CAAGUACUACCUCCGUCCGAAAAUACUUGUCCUAGAAAUGGAUAAAAUGGAUGUAUCUAUAUCUAAAAUAAGUCUAGAUACAACCAUUUCUAGGACAAGUAUUUCCGGACAGAGGGAGUAACUU